rnacentral:rRNA from 1 species
AACGAACGCUGGCGGCAUGCCUAACACAUGCAAGUCGAACGAGACCUUCGGGUCUAGUGGCGCACGGGUGCGUAACGCGUGGGAACCUGCCCUUAGGUUCGGAAUAACUCCCCGAAAGGGGUGCUAAUACCGGAUAAUGUCUUCGGACCCAAGAUUUAUCGCCUUUGGAUGGGCCCGCGUUGGAUUAGCUAGUUGGUAGGGUAAAAGCCUACCAAGGCGACGAUCCAUAGCUGGUCUGAGAGGAUGAUCAGCCACACUGGGACUGAGACACGGCCCAGAAUCCUACGGGAGGCAGCAGUGGGGAAUAUUGGACAAUGGGCGAAAGCCUGAUCCAGCAAUGCCGCGUGAGUGAUGAAGGCCUUAGGGUUGUAAAGCUCUUUUACACGGGAUGAUAAUGACGGUACCGGGAGAAUAAGCUCCGGCUAACUCCGUG